AACGAACGCUGGCGGCAUGCCUAACACAUGCAAGUCGAACGAGACCUUCGGGUCUAGUGGCGCACGGGUGCGUAACGCGUGGGAACCUGCCCUUAGGUUCGGAAUAACUCCUCGAAAGGGGUGCUAAUACCGGAUAAUGUCUUCGGACCAAAGAUUUAUCGCCCUUGGAUGGGCCCGCGUUGGAUUAGCUAGUUGGUAGGGUAAAAGCCUACCAAGGCGACGAUCCAUAGCUGGUCUGAGAGGAUGAUCAGCCACACUGGGACUGAGACACGGCCCAGACUCCUACGGGAGGCAGCAGUGGGGAAUAUUGGACUAUGGGCGAAAGCCUGAUCCAGCAAUGCCGCGUGAGUGAUGAAGGCCUUAGGGUUGUAAAGCUCUUUUACCCGGGAUGAUAAUGACAGUACCGAGAGAAUAAGCUCCGGCUAACUCCGUG
rnacentral:rRNA from 1 species